AGAGUAUAGCUCAGUGGUGGAGUGCAUGCUUAGCAUGCACGAGGUCCUGGGUUCAAUCCCCAGUACCUCUG
rnacentral:tRNA from 1 species